rnacentral:rRNA from 1 species
UGGGGAAUAUUGCACAAUGGGCGCAAGCCUGAUGCAGCCAUGCCGCGUGUGUGAAGAAGGUUUUCGGAUCGUAAAACUCUGUUGUUAGAGAAGAACAAGGACGUUAGUAACUGAACGUCCCCUGACGGUAUCUAACCAGAAAGCCACGGCUAACUACGUGCCAGCAGCCGCGGUAAUACGUAGGUGGCAAGCGUUGUCCGGAUUUAUUGGGCGUAAAGCGAGCGCAGGCGGUUUCUUAAGUCUGAUGUGAAAGCCCCCGGCUCAACCGGGGAGGGUCAUUGGAAACUGGGAGACUUGAGUGCAGAAGAGGAGAGUGGAAUUCCAUGUGUAGCGGUGAAAUGCGUAGAUAUAUGGAGGAACACCAGUGGCGAAGGCGGCUCUCUGGUCUGUAACUGACGCUGAGGCUCGAAAGCGUGGGGAGCAAACAGG